UACGAAGGGGGCUAGCGUUGUUCGGAAUUACUGGGCGUAAAGGGCGCGUAGGCGGUCUUGUAAGUCAGAUGUGAAAGCCCCGGGCUCAACCCGGGAGUUGCAUUUGAUACUGCAUUGCUUGAGUCCGGGAGAGGAUGGCGGAAUUCCCGGUGUAGAGGUGAAAUUCGUAGAUAUUGGGAAGAACAUCAGUGGCGAAGGCGGACCUCUGGUCCGGUACUGACACUCAAGUGCGAAAGCGUGGGGAGCAAACAGG
rnacentral:rRNA from 1 species